ACAACAUUCGGACCGUCAGUCUACCGAGUAAUUACACUCGCUCGGUAGAAGAUCUUUUUUUUUAUU
rnacentral:pre_miRNA from 1 species